rnacentral:lncRNA from 1 species
UUUUUGGCUUAUGAAGACCUCAGACCUAAACAAAAACUUGAUCAGAUAAUAAAGCAAAGAAUUAUUUUCAGUAUAUAAAAAAUCCUCAACAGAGAAUUUAGCUAUAUGAAUAACUGGCUAAUUAAUUUGACAAUUUAGUGAAAUUUGGUUAGAAUCAUUCAAAAAUUAGCUGUCAAGCUCUAACUUUACUUUCACAUUAAAUGGAGUCAAAACAAAUGUAGCCUAAUAUAAAACUCCACAUUAAAGCAUACUUUUAUAUAGAUCAGAAAUUUAUAAACACAGUUACUGAAAAGCCUAUUAAUUACUCUUUUGAUAUAUUUACAGUUUAGUUCA